ensembl:lncRNA
GUUAGGGUUAGGGAUAGGGUUAGGGUUAAGGUUAGGGAUAGGGUUAGGGGUUAGGGUUAGGGAUAGGGUUAGGGUUAGGGUUAGAGUUAGGGUUAGGGUUAGGGUUAGGGGAUAGGGUUAGGGUUAGGGUUAGGGUUAAGGUUAGGGUUAGGGGAUAGGGAUAGGGUUAGGGGAUAGGGUUAGGGGAUAUGGUUAGGGGAUAGGGUUAGGGGAUAGGGUUAAGGUUAGGGUUAGGGUUAGGGUUAGGGUUAAGGUUAGGGUUAAGGUUAGGGAUAGGGUUAGGGGAUAGGGUUAGGGUUAGGGUUAGGGUUAGGGGAUAGGGUUAAGGUUAGGGUUAGGGGAUAGG